rnacentral:rRNA from 1 species
AACGAACGCUGGCGGCAUGCCUAACACAUGCGAGUCGAACGAGACCUUCGGGACUAGUGGCGCACGGGUGCGUAACGCGUGGGAACCUGCCCUUAGGUUCGGAAUAACUCCCCGAAAGGGGUGCUAAUACCGGAUAAUGUCUUCGGACCAAAGAUUUAUCGCCUUUGGAUGGGCCCGCGUUGGAUUAGCUAGUUGGUAGGGUAAAAGCCUACCAAGGCGACGAUCCAUAGCUGGUCUGAGAGGAUGAUCAGCCACACUGGGACUGAGACACGGCCCAGACUCCUACGGGAGGCAGCAGUGGGGAAUAUUGGACAAUGGGCGAAAGCCUGAUCCAGCAAUGCCGCGUGAGUGAUGAAGGCCUUAGGGUUGUAAAGCUCUUUUACCCGGGAUGAUAAUGACAGUACCGGGAGAAUAAGCCCCGGCUAACUCCGUG